GGGCGGUGGUGUUUCUUUGUGAGUGGUUCCUAGUUACGCGCCGUCUCUCUGGUUCUUCUGUUGUACGUUUUAAUCAUAAAUUGUGGCAUAUUCGGUAACGUAACGUAUCGCAGCAUAGUAUAACAACGUGUGCGAUGCUGAGUACGAGUUCCUGGACACUGUGUACGCACCCAUUUAAGCUACAUCUGUGAGACAUUCGGCAUCACUCUUGAGAAUUCUAAUGAACUCCCAUUACCAAGGCCCCUAGAGAGAAUCCUGUGGGCUUAGGACGUGGUUGUCCCUUGUGAAACUGCAUCUGAUUCACCAGAAUUUCCAAGCGGGCCCAGUCCUCCAAGCACAGUGCCUGUUUCUUGCUUAUCACCUUUGUGUAUGGUUUUUGUCUUUUCAUCUAUAUGCAGCCUCUCAGAUACUGAUAUCUUAAUACACUUUGCUACGUUAAAUUAAUAAGCUCAUUAGUGGUAUUAGUGUGACUUAGUAUUCCCAGGGCUAUAUAAGGAAUCUACAAGAGUCAAAUAUUGUGAUAAUACUUAACGAUUAUUGCGCUGGCUAAUUUCAUGUCAACUUAAUACAGGUUACAGUCAUCUGAGAGGAGGGAACCCCAAUCGAGAAAAUACCUCUUAUAAGAUUGGACUGUAGUUGAGCUGCAUUUGUGGGGACUCCAUAGAGAGAAAAGCAUCAAAAAACUUCUGAUGGUGUGCUACAGUUUUUUGCCAAGGACGCAGGCGGAGUGGCAGAGUGACGUCAGCUGAGACAUCCGCACUUGCUGAGGGAAGAGCCGUGGAGGACACGUGAUGUUUGGAGAUUAUAUAGGACUCCACAGAGUGACAGAGACAGAGCUUGGCUUGCUGGUACAUCUAGCUGUGCAAUGCUUGUGGGUCUCCAGUCUUCGCUGAUCUUCGACUCCCUGAGAGAGGCACAGCCGAGAACUUCUCCUGGUGAUCCCUGGGUCCCUCCUGCUGACUCGAGGCCUGGCUGUCUCUGCUAGAUCGAGUCGCGGCCGUUGCUAUCCCAACUCUACCAAACUGGACUGCUGGUGCAUCCCUGAGGUGUUUGUGAGUGGAUAGAGCUGCUGCUGCCUGCUGACCUGUGAACUGCACUGCCGAUUUCCAGACGACACAGGUAGCUGAGGAAAACUGGAUGAAGUGUGGCAAAUGUUUGUGACUUCAGCCACACCGAGAAGUUGGGAAGAGCAGAUGAAAAUAAUCUACGGACAUCGAUAAUCAGGAACUGAGAAGAUGGGUUCAGAUGCAGGUAGGUUUGAGCGUCAUCCGUGCAGGCAAUGGACCGAAGGGAGACAAAUGAACACGGAGGAACUAAAGAGGUAGAGAUGGGGUGGGCAGAGGAUGCAGAGAAACUUGUCACACACACAGGCGUUCAACCAGGAAAAGGCAGUGUCUAGAACUUCACUGAUGAUGGGGAAGGAACCACUGAUGCGAUGCUGGUUAGGUACGUCAGGGAAAUGCUAGACUAAGGGAACCACAGUAGUUACAGCAUGCUGCUGCAGCCUUCACCUGACCUGCUGUUGCUUCUCUCUGUACAUGGGGCUGACGUCCCUGGAUCCCAGAUUCUGCCUUUUGAAAUGGGCAAGGCAGAGAGAGUUGCAGUUCCUAAGAAGCUGAUGUAAACACUUCCAGUGAGUGAAGGGAUAAACACACUACACGGUAUGCAUUCCCUAUCAUUUCCGCAGGCGCACGAAAGGGAAGACUCUCAGAAGGGACUGAGGUGGGUUAUGGUCAGUAUUACCCAGGAGAGGACUUACAGCCAAGACUGCCUCUGCCAUUUCAUUCUCAGCCUAAGAUACCGAGGAGACCCGGGAGCCCUUGGCACUUGACUUUCUGCCACUUUCUUUCCUCCUUGUUUUAUUUUUUAAUUAAAAGACCACCCUGGUUGCAUAAGACCUCUAUAACGCAAAUAUGUAAUAUAUAACCUGGUGGUGAUUUUCAUUUUGACCUUUGGUACGUGUGUGACCGAGUGUGUGGGGGCACCACAUGCAUGCGGGUGCCCCUGAGGAUGUCAGAGCCCUUGGGACUGGAGUUAGAGUUAUGGAAUUGAACGUGGGUCCUCCGUAAGAACAGACGAGCUCUUCACUGCUGAGCCUUGAGGUUUAAAAUUUUUAAAAAUCUUACUUGUGUGUGCGUGUUGACACGUACAUUCAUGACGUGCAUGUAGAGGUCAGAGGUCGUCUUGUGUAGGUCAAUUCUCCCCUUCCACCACCUGAUUCCUGGACGUCAAACUCAGGUUGUCAGGCUCAGUGUCAAGCAUCUCCAGCUGCUGAGCCAUUUCUUCUGACUCCAUAAUUAUUUUUUUUUUUCCUAGAUAGUGUCUCACUUUGUACCUCUGGCUGACCGCAAACAAAUCAAUAAACAAGCAAAAAGAAAAAAAAAAACAGAACAAAACAAAUGCAAACAAACACCAGCCUCCACCAAAAAAAUCAAACGAGAAUUUAUCUCAGUAUUUAAACAAUUAGUUUUUACUUAGUGUAACUUUACUGUUCAAAAAUCAUACUUACUGGGGUUGGGGAUUUAGCUCAGUGGUAGAGCGCUUGCCUAGGAAGCGCAAGGCCCUGGGUUCGGUCCCCAGCUCCGAAAAAAAGAACCAAAAAAAAAAAAAUUAUACUUACUAAAGCCACAACCUAGUCCAGAAGGACAGAACUUUUAUAGCAAAACUUUGAUACACAAUUAUCAGAGAUGCAAAUACUAAAUGGAUACAGAAGCUAUUCAGAGACUGACAAUGACUUCCAGCAA